AGGGCACCACCAGGAGUGGAGCCUGCGGCUUAAUUUGACUCAACACGGGAAAACUCACCCGGCCCGGACACUGGAAGGAUUGACAGAUUGAGAGCUCUUUCUUGAUUCAGUGGGCGGUGGUGCAUGGCCGUUCUUAGUUGGUGGAGUGAUUUGUCUGGUUAAUUCCGAUAACGAACGAGACUCUAGCCUACUAAAUAGAUCGUCGGCUUACAAACGCCGGCGAGACUUCUUAGAGGGACAGGCGGUGAUUCAACCGCACGAAACAGAGCAAUAACAGGUCUGUGAUGCCCUUAGAUGUCCGGGGCCGCACGCGCGCUACACUGAAGUGAUCAGCGUGCUUUUUCAACCUACUCUGUCAAGAGUGGGGAACCCAAUGAACCUUCUUCGUGAUUGGGAUAGGGGAUUGUAAUUAUUCCCCUUGAACGAGGAAUUCCCAGUAAGCGCGAGUCAUAAGCUCGCGUUGAUUACGUCCCUGCCCUUUGUACACACCGCCCGUCGCUACUACCGGUUGAAUGUUUU
rnacentral:rRNA from 1 species